rnacentral:rRNA from 1 species
UACGUAGGGUGCGAGCGUUGUCCGGAAUUAUUGGGCGUAAAGAGCUUGUAGGCGGUUUGUCGCGUCUGCCGUGAAAGCCCAGGGCUUAACCCUGGGUCUGCGGUGGGUACGGGCAGACUAGAGUGUGGUAGGGGAGACUGGAAUUCCUGGUGUAGCGGUGAAAUGCGCAGAUAUCAGGAGGAACACCGAUGGCGAAGGCAGGUCUCUGGGCUGACACUGACGCUCAUGCACGAAAGCGUGGGGAGCAAACAGG